AGUAUGUCCAAGACUCAAUCAUAGUCAAGGACCAAAUAUUUAUGCCUGGAAAAUCCCUGAAAAGCCAGGCAAGACCUUGGUCCUAAUAUACUCAGUAUUAGGCUAAGGGAUUAGGCUUAAGAGAAAAAGGCAUGAGCCCAGAAAUGCGAGGGCGACUUGGGGAUUUAGACUCAAGAAUAAGGCUUACAUGCAAAUGCCAGAUCAGAACCAAACCAGCAGAAAGAUCCCGGGGCAGGACUGAAUCUGCAGACAGAGGCCACAUGACACCAGAUGUGAGGAAGGGAGAUUUGAGAAAUCAUCAUUUUUGAAUGAGAUUUUCCUCUCGUUUUGCAUCUGCAGCAAAUCUCUGGCGCAAGAGGAGCUCAUCUAAUGUCAUAGUGUCAUCUGUGUGGGGUGUAUGUGUAAGGAAGGCGCCAAUCUUCAUUUGAUCCUCCAAAUUCCCAUUAGAUGACUGAAAUGUCUCUUGCUGCAUGGCCUAUGGUUAUUGGUUGUCAGCCUCUGCUCUUGCUACACUGGCUGCUGCUGCUAUCACUUUUUUCUUCAUUUUCACCCUUACAAAUUUGUCCCUGCCUUCACCUUUACUCACAAGGACUGAACACUGUGCUGUCCUUAUCUCCAUCCCAACAUCUUGCAGUCCCCUGGCCCCCUCAGCAUUUUAGCACCCCCACUAACUUUUGUAACAGCUUCCAAAACUCUUCCUCCAGGCCUGCCACAUAACACAGGGCUCAGGGCAGAAGUAUAAAUGGAGGCCCACAUAUCAAAAUUCUAAACAUUACCAAGCAAAAAAUUUAUUAAAUAUAAUAUAUUCUAUACUUUGAC